rnacentral:rRNA from 1 species
UACGGAGGGAGCUAGCGUUGUUCGGAAUUACUGGACGUAAAGCGCACGUAGGCGGCUUUGUAAGUUAGAGGUGAAAGCCCGGGGCUCAACCCCGGAAUUGCCUUUAAGACUGCAUCGCUUGAAUCCGGGAGAGGUGAGUGGAAUUCCGAGUGUAGAGGUGAAAUUCGUAGAUAUUCGGAAGAACACCAGUGGCGAAGGCGGCUCUCUGGGACGGUACUGACGCUGAGACGCGAAAGCGUGGGGAGCGAACAGG